rnacentral:rRNA from 1 species
UACAGAGGGGGCAAGCGUUGUUCGGAAUUACUGGGCGUAAAGGGCGCGUAGGUGGCCUUCUAAGUUGAACGUGAAAUCCCUGGGCUUAACCCAGGAACUGCGUCCAAGACUGGGAGGCUUGAAUCCGGGAGAGGGAUGUGGAAUUCCAGGUGUAGCGGUGAAAUGCGUAGAUAUCUGGAGGAACACCGGUGGCGAAGGCGGCAUCCUGGACCGGUAUUGACGCUGAGGCGCGAAAGCUAGGGGAGCAAACGGG